UAUAAGAACAUGCUGGUGCCUGGGUA
rnacentral:piRNA from 1 species